CUAGCACCUUUCAAGCGAGUGGCGAACGGGUGAGUAACACGUGGAUAACCUGCCUCAAGGCUGGGGAUAACAUUUGGAAACAGAUGCUAAUACCGAAUAAAACUUAGUAUCGCAUGAUAUCAAGUUAAAAGGCGCUACGGCGUCACCUAGAGAUGGAUCCGCGGUGCAUUAGUUAGUUGGUGGGGUAAAGGCUUACCAAGACAAUGAUGCAUAGCCGAGUUGAGAGACUGAUCGGCC
rnacentral:rRNA from 1 species